rnacentral:lncRNA from 10 species
UUUGGCUUUGGACAUUUGACUGUGAUCCCCGUGGGUUGCACAGUUGGAGACAUGCAGUGCACUUGGUAUAUGGUCUUGACUUUGAUGAAGCUGGAUCUAAAUUACAAAUUUGAGAAUCAGCUGCACAGAGGUAAGAUAUGAAUGUGGGAAUUAGAGGUAGAGAGUGAAUAAAAGCAAAGAGCUGGGGUCUGAACAGUGGGUAAUUAA